rnacentral:rRNA from 1 species
CCCUUAGAGUUUGAUCAUGGCUCAGAUUGAACGCUGGCGGCAGGCCUAACACAUGCAAGACGAGCGGUAGAGAGAAGCUUGCUUCUCUUGAGAGCGGCGGACGGGUGAGUAAUGCCUAGGAAUCUGCCUGGUAGUGGGGGAUAACGUUCGGAAACGGACGCUAAUACCGCAUACGUCCUACGGGAGAAAGCAGGGGACCUUCGGGCCUUGCGCUAUCAGAUGAGCCUAGGUCGGAUUAGCUAGUUGGUGAGGUAAUGGCUCACCAAGGCGACGAUCCGUAACUGGUCUGAGAGGAUGAUCAGUCACACUGGAACUGAGACACGGUCCAGACUCCUACGGGAGGCAGCAGUGGGGAAUAUUGGACAAUGGGCGAAAGCCUGAUCCAGCCAUGCCGCGUGUGUGAAGAAGGUCUUCGGAUUGUAAAGCACUUUAAGUUGGGAGGAAGGGUUGUAGAUUAAUACUCUGCAAUUUUGACGUUACCGACAGAAUAAGCACCGGCUAACUCUGUGCCAGCAGCCGCGGUAAUGCAGAGGGUGCAAGCGUUAAUCGGAAUUACUGGGCGUAAAGCGCGCGUAGGUGGUUUGUUAAGUUGGAUGUGAAAUCCCCGGGCUCAACCUGGGAACUGCAUUCAAAACUGACUGACUAGAGUAUGGUAGAGGGUGGUGGAAUUUCCUGUGUAGCGGUGAAAUGCGUAGAUAUAGGAAGGAACACCAGUGGCGAAGGCGACCACCUGGACUAAUACUGACACUGAGGUGCG